UCGUAACAAGGUCUCCGUUGGUGAACCAGCGGAGGGAUCAUUACCGAGUUUACAACUCCCAAACCCCUGUGAACAUACCUUAUGUUGCCUCGGCGGAUCAGCCCGCGCCCCGUAAAAAGGGACGGCCCGCCGCAGGAACCCUAAACUCUGUUUUUAGUGGAACUUCUGAGUAUAAAAAACAAAUAAAUCAAAACUUUCAACAACGGAUCUCUUGGUUCUGGCAUCGAUGAAGAACGCAGCAAAAUGCGAUAAGUAAUGUGAAUUGCAGAAUUCAGUGAAUCAUCGAAUCUUUGAACGCACAUUGCGCCCGCCAGUAUUCUGGCGGGCAUGCCUGUUCGAGCGUCAUUUCAACCCUCAAGCCCAGCUUGGUGUUGGGAGCUGCAGUCCUGCUGCACUCCCCAAAUACAUUGGCGGUCACGUCGAGCUUCCAUAGCGUAGUAAUUUACACAUCGUUACUGGUAAUCGUCGCGGCCACGCCGUUAAACCCCAACUUCUGAAUGUUGACCUCGGAUCAGGUAGGAAUACCCGCUGAACUUAAGCAUAUCAA
rnacentral:rRNA from 1 species